UAAGGCCUCGUUUGGUGCCAUUUCGUAUUAAAUUAGCACCGGAUUAUUUAUGCAGCCCUGCCUAUUUUAUACGACGCACACCAGAUAACUUAUAUACUCCAAGUCGUCGGUAUUAUUAGUUGGGUCGUUGGAAACAAAAUCAAGCUAGCUUUUUUUUUCCAUCUCUCUCUUGCUGAUUACUACAGUGCUUUCCCAAUCCAUAUUCUCAACCAAUAUUCCUUCUCUCUCUCAACAAAGUAGGAACUAGAGUUUGAGGUAUGCGACUAUAUAUGGUUGAUGGGGAUGGGGAUUGGGUUGUGGAAUAAGUUGGAAUUGCGGCUAAUCGAUGAACAAGUUGUCGACCUGCAUUUGCAAAUGCUCAUGGAGAACAUCCAUGGCGGCAACGUUUUCGUUUGGAUCAGAGGUGGUGGUUUUUACGUUUUUCCCAUCAAAUCGACUGGCUCUAACACCAAAUUUGGUUUUAAAUUGUGAAACUGAGUGCCAUAAAUGUUCUUCAAUCUCAUUUUGAGGAAGUAAAUGAACAUGAUAAUCUUUGAUUCUUUGUACAUAACAACUUUUAUUAAUAGGAGGAAGAAUUACGGACAAAAACAAGUCCAAGAUGAAUUGAGUUUUUAUUUUUUUUUUUUAACUAAGAACAAAUCUGAUUAGUGCUCUUUAAUUUGUUUAUUUUGUUAAAAUGUAUAUAGACAUUAUUAUUAUUUUUUAAAAUCGUUUUUAAUCCGGUACUGCACCAAACGCUUGAUUAAAUAGUCAGUAAGCACGACUAAAUAAUCAAUACUAUCCGAUGACAUAUUAUUCUAUCCAAUUGAAAUAGUCAGUACAGUCUGAGCUGCUGAUGAGUGCAUAUUUUCAUAUAUUUUUAUCAUAUACUUCCUUUGCAUUUUGUAUAUAUGAAUGGGUUAAAUGCACUAAUUUAUAUUGUUUUAAUUUAUAAGCAUUAAAUACUGGAGUUACGCAAAAAUGAAGUGAAAAAUGAGCUUUUUGGGUGUCUAUAGUAAUUCCAGUGGAGCAAGAGGCUAAUUAACUGCACCAAGGCAUAUGCGUUACAACAAGAAGAUGAGACUGCAAUAGUUUUGGAAAUCAAAUGGACAAGGGAGUGCUAUUCAAUGGAUUUAAGAAGAGACAUAAUUAUUUGUUUUUAUUAUUUCCGUUUAUUUUCUUUUUAUUUAAUAAGAACUUAAAGUGCAUUAGUUAGGAUUUUAGUGGGGUUAAAUUUGUUUUUUUUUUCUCGUCUUUGUCGUGGGUGUUAUAAGGAGAUUUCUUCUCUUUGUGAUGCAUUACUAAAAAAAAAAACAUCAACAAAUUUUCCCAUAGUGGGUUGCGGCAAGGAAGGGCGAAGAGGAAGAGCUACAUUGGAGUUUUUCUUUACUAGGGCUACGAUGUAGCCUAAUCAUGAAUACUUAAUUGCCUUGUGGCAUUGUUAUUAUCAAGUUUUUCAUCUUUAUUGAGUAUCUUUUGCUAAUUGUAAUGCGCUUGAUUUUUAUUUAGAUGCUUGAUCACCAUCUAGGUUUAAAUUAGGUUGAUUUGAUGCAAGUUAGAGUAGAUGCCAUACUUAACUUGGGUGUAGCUUCUUGCAAUUGAUACCAUAAACACCUACUUGUAGAUGCCAUGGAAUUAGGGUUUGUGUGAUUUUCCAACGAUUUCCAUAGAGCUUAAUGGGUUCUUACUUGUUUAAAUCCAUCUAGAUGCCAUAGAGGGUUAACAUGUAAGGAUACUUUUGAUGUAACCAAAUGCCAUGACUGUCGAAUAAUUUAGGGAAAAUCGAUCAUCAAUAUUGGGAAACUACUUGAGCAUAACAUUUAAGGGAAUUAAGUAGGAUUGGUUACAGUGAAUUCGGAUGCCCUAGGUCUUCUUUUCUUAUGUUUUCAGUUUAUAAUUUUCAUGUAUUUUAUUUUCAAGCUUUAUUUCAUUUUAGUUUAAUUUCAAAGUUUCAUGCUUUUCCAUUAAAGCUUCCCCACUAUGAUUUGUUUCAGUUUAGUAAGUAAGACUUUAGAAUCAAUUCAAUCUUUGUGGGACGAUAUCUGUGCUUAUAUGCUAUACAAUCAUUUGAUUCGUAUACUUGCGAGCACAAAAUUUCGAGACUUAAUGAGCCUAAUUUCGGUUAUCUAAUUUUCACAACAAGUUUUUGGCGCCGUUACAGGGGUUCAAAUUUGAUUCUAUUACUUAAUUGGAUUGUUAUAUCUUUUAGUUGGUUUAGCUUUAAUGUUAGUUGUUAGUUUUUUUUUUUUUUUGAAUAAAAAAUUAUUCUCCUAAGUCUCUUGUUUAGCUUACCCAUUGUUUGGUGUUUUUGUAGAAAACUAGAGCCACCUAACCAUGUUGCCAGUAGGAAAAUUCAAGUUUGGGGGUGGAUUGUCAUCUACAUGUUCGUUUGGCCGUCUCCUUAAACCCGGGAAGUUUCCUUGUCCAAGAGCUUUAUUUCAUUUAUUUUCUUUUGUUGUCUAUGUUCGUUAUCCUCGUUUUUUUUUUCUUUCAUUGUUUUCGUUUUAGUUUUGGAAAAAAAAAAAAACCAAAAAUACAUACAAAAAUAUAAAACUUGAGAACCCAAAAAAAAUUUUCUUUGAGUCUUGUUUUUAUUGGCUACUUCCCCACUCAGUGAUGAGAUACGAUCUUUACGUUUUUCAUAACUUUCAAGAAAUUUAAGUUUGACAUUAGUUCUUUACAUUAUCUUUGUUUAAACUAUAUUUUUUUUGAUGAUCAUGACUUGGAAGAACAAAUGCACGUAGCCUUGUUGGUGUGAAACUAGAGUAUGAUUAAAAGUUUCAUAUGUGAAUAUAGUGUGCUAAUGUAACCCUUGUGAGCUUUUGAGCCUAUUUUAUGAUUGAACCACUAUGCAUCAAUCUCGUUUAUUCUUGUGCGCAUGAUCUCAUUUUUGCAUGUAUCUCUAGAACUUGCUUUAUACCUCUCGUUGCAUUCAGCAAUUCACAUAAUAAAACUUGGAAGUGAUUUAGGCAUUUGUUUCUUUUGCUUGAGCCUUUCUAGCCAACCAUUAUAAUUGUUUUCCCUAGUUAGCCAUUUUGAGCCUUUUUGUGAUCCUUUUU